UAGGGAAUCUUCCACAAUGGGCGCAAGCCUGAUGGAGCAACGCCGCGUGAGUGAAGAAGGUCUUCGGAUCGUAAAACUCUGUUGUUAGAGAAGAACAUGCAGGAGAGUAACUGUUCUUGUAUUGACGGUAUCUAACCAGAAAGCCACGGCUAACUACGUGCAAG
rnacentral:rRNA from 1 species